GAUGAAGAACGUAGCGAAAUGCGAUGAGUAAUGUGAAUUGCAGAAUUCAGUGAAUCAUCGAAUCUUUGAACGCACCUUGCGCCCUUUGGCUAUUCUGAAGGGCAUGCCUGUUUGAGUAUCAUGAACACCUCAACUCUCAUGGUUCGCCAUGAUGAGCUUGGACUUUGGGGGUCUUGCUGGCCUACGGUCGGCUCCUCUCAAAUGAAUCAGCUUGCCAGUGUUUGGUAGAGUCGCAGGUGUGAUAACUAUCUACGCUUGUGGUUUUCUGCCAGAUAACCUUCAGUGAUGGAGGUUCGCUGGAGCUUAUAAAUGUCUCUCCCCAGUGAGGACAGCUUUUUGAACGUUUGAUCUCAAAUCAGGUAGGACUACCCGCUGAACUUAAGCAUAUCAAUAAGCGGAGGA
rnacentral:misc_RNA from 1 species